CUCUCCCUCUCUCUCUCUCUCUCUCUCUCUCUCUCUCUCUCUCUCUCUCUCCCUCCCUCCCUCCGUCUCCCCAAUAACUAGACCUGAUCAAAAGCUAAAUAUGACAUCACUAUACUUUAUCAAUGAACAGAACAGAUCAAUAACUAAACUUGACAUCACCAGACCUGAUCAACAGCUGGACCUGAUCAAUAAUUGAACAUGACAACACUAGACCUGAUCAAUAGCUGGACCUGAUCAAUCGCUGGACCUGAUCAUUAGCUAGACCUGUUAAAUAGCUGGACCUGAUCAAUAAUUGAAUAUGACAUCACUACACCUGAUCAAUAGCUGGACCUGAGAGAGAGAGAGAGAGAGAGAGAGAGAGAGAGAGAGAGAGAGAGAGAGAGAGAGAGAGAGAGAGAGAGAGAGAGAGAGAGAGAGAGAGAGAGAGAGAGAGAGAGAGAGAGAGAGGUGUCAGAAAGAGAUAGAACCCCAAAGGGAUUAUGAAGAGAGUGAUAGAGGGUGUGUGUGUGUUGGUGUUUGUGUGUGUGUGUUUGGAUUCAUACCUUUCGUUCACUAUAAUCCUAAAAUAACACACAGAACACAUCCACAAUGUCAUUGGUAGCGCUUGAAAACUGCAUUUAUUGAAAACAAAUGGUUAGCAUUCAAUCAAUGGUGGUAUUGAUCUUCUUCAUGUGAAGCCAGCUCUCUGAGGCAGAUGCUAUGCUAUUGAUCAGUGCUAGCUUGAAUUCCCAGUAAAGGAGUGUUGCUGACGUCCUGUUUCUGCAUUGAUGAGCCACGCAGCACAUGGAGGCUAGGCUACCAUGGAUAUGUUAGCAGCACGCUUACAAGCACUUGUUUCAGAGUAGAGGAAUGCUGGAGGACUGCACGUCAUUGAAACUACAGUGUACUACAGUUUACCACAGUAAACUACAGUGUACUACAGCGUACCGCAGUAAACUACAGUGUACAACAGUAAACGACAGUGUACCACAGUAAACUACAGUGUACUACAGUAAACUAUAGUGUACUACAGUAAACUACAGUGUACUUUAGCUAACUACAGUGUACUACAGUAAACUACAGAGUACCUACCAGAGGCGGACAGAGUACAAGUAAAAUUACUACAGUCAGAUGUCUACUUAAGUAAAAUUACUGAAGUACUUGUUUUUAAAAGUACUUGAGUAUGAAGAGUACAAGAGUACAUUUUCUAAAUAUUGCGUAACUAAUAUUGCCACAGUGCUUACAUUUAUGUAUAGAAACGUCCUACAUGGAGUUAUGAAAAAUGUUAAUACCUUGGAGAAUGUAAAAGGAAUUGAAAGUAAAAUCAAGUCAUUUUCAUCUUUUUACCAUGUUGCUUUAUUUAACAUUUCUCACUUGCCCACAAGGCAAUAGCACAAUAGUAUACAGUAUAACAGUAUACUCAAGAACAUAAAAACAAUUGCUCAGCUUACUUAAAUAUGUAAUAUCAGAAAAGAAAAUUCAGCUAACAAUUGUAUGUAUGUGUGAGUUUCUCUGUUUUUUCAUCAAUCAAGUCAACAAUCGUCUCAUCUAAAUCUGACCAUGGAGUAGACUUUGGCGGAAAGCGAAGGUGAUUGCUGAUAGGCUGAAGGCUGUCCUAAUCAGUGGCGCCUGCACUAUCCAAUCACGCUUGAGAGGGAAACAACAAAUGUAGGGUUUCCGAGAUUUUUCUUUUCUCCUUUUAUUUUUUAAUUUUUAGAAGAAGUAACAGGUACUCACGGUUAUGGAUAGAAAUGUAGCGGAGUAAAGAGUACAAUAUUUGCCUCUCAAAUUUACUUGAGCAAAGUCAUGAGUGCUCCCCAAAAAUUAUACUCGAGUAAAGUACAGAUCCCUCAAAAUUGUACUUAAGUACUGUACUCAAAUCAAUUUGCUCCGUUACUGUCCGGCUCUGGUACCUAUAUUAAACUACAGUGUACUACAGUAAACUACAGUGUACUCCAGUGAACUACAGUGUACUACAGUGUUCUGGAGGUGAACUACAGUGUACCAGGUGAACUACAGUGUACCAGGUGGAGGUAUGGUGAACUACAGUGUACCAGGUGAACUACAGUGUACCAGGUGGAGGUAUGGUGAACUACAGUGUACGAGGUGAACUACAGUGUACCAGGUGGAGGUGUGGUGAACUACAGUGUAUCAGGUGAACUACAGUGUACCAGGUGGAGGUGUGGUGAACUACAGUGUAUCAGGUGGAGGUGUGGUGAACUACAGUGUACCAGGUGAACUACAGUGUACCAGGUGAACUACAGUGUACCAGGUGGAGGUGUGGUGAACUACAGUGUACCAGGUGGAGGUGUGGUGAACUACAGUGUACCAGGUGAACUACAGUGUACCAGGUGGAGGUAUGGUGAACUACAGUGUACCAGGUGAACUACAGUGUACCAGGUGGAGGUGUGGUGAACUACAGUGUACCAGGUGAACUACAGUGUACCAGGUGGAGGUGUGGUGAACUACAGUGUACCAGGUGAACUACAGUGUACCAGGUGAACUACAGUGUACCAGGUGGAGGUGUGGUGAACUACAGUGUACCAGGUGAACUGCAGUGUACCAGGUGGAGGUGUGGUGAACUACAGUGUACCAGGUGAACUGCAGUGUACCAGGUGUAGUUGUGGUGUAAUGUUGUGUUCUUGGGGAUGUUGUGUCGCUAGCAGCAGCUGAUCUGAGGACUACUGGGGGAGCACCCCCCGCUAUCUGGUGGUGGAGGCUGGGAGUCACACACACACACACACACGCACACACGCACGCACGCGCACACACGCACACACACACACACACACACACACACACACAAUCUAACUCAUAACACACGCACGCACACACACACACACACAAUAACUCAUCACACACACAUACACCCACACACACACAUACAUACAUGCUCACAUACAGAGUUUGGUAACUCCUUCAUAUAACGUGUUCUUAUGUAUACAUUUAUAUACAUUACGUAUAAAUUGAUAUACAUUUAUUGUGUAUAAAUAUUCUAUUCUAUUUAUUAGAUAUACAUUUUUUAGAUACACAUAUGUAUUAAAUAUAGAUAUUGAUUUAUCUCUCAUCUCAUCUUCAUCCGCAUCCGCUUAUCCGGGGUCGGGUCGCGAGGGGAGCAGCUCAAGCAGGGGCCCCAGACUUCCCUUUAUCUAUACUUAUUAGGAAGAAAUACUCAUAUAUUUGUAUUACAUGUACAUAUUUAUUAUCAUUAUCAUUUACUAUGUUAAUGACCUGUAUGUAUUUCUUCUCCGUUCAUAUCUCUCCUCCUAUUGGUUCUCGGGCCCUGCGAGGCAACGCCGAGUGCCUCGCGCGCUCCGCGGCCAAAGAUGUGCUGCCCUUUAAUGGCAUUUAGACGUGUGUUGCUUAGUGCUCUUCCUCCGCACACAAACACACACACGUGAUCGCGCGCGCACACACACACACUCAAACACACACACACACGCACACACACAGAUACACACGCACAGGCACGCACACCACCGCACACACACACCACCGCACACACACACACACGCUCACACACAUAGGCACACGCACACACAGGCACAUUAGGACACACACGGGCGAUGGUGCACUUCAAUACGCACGCGCACGCAAACAAGCUUCUUCACGUGUCUAUUCCGCCAAUUCUCCGCAGUGCUGAGAGAGAGAGAGAGAGAGAGAGAGAGAGAGAGAGAGAGAGAGAGAGAGAGAGAGAGAGAGAGAGAGAGAGAGAGAGAGAGAGAGAGAGAGAGAGAGAGAGAGAGAGAGAGAGAGAGAGAGAGAGAGAGAGAGAGAGAGAGAGAGAGAGAGAGAGCACAGAGAGAGAGCACAGAGAGAGAGCACAGAGAGCGAGAGAGAACUCGCCUGGGCUUUCCAGAGCGCGUGGAUCCUCCGUGGCUCGCGGCAGGGUGAGUAGCCUACAGAUUCCCGCCUUGACGUUACCGCGGGAAACUGCGUCGUGGCUUCUGACCGUGUCCUCCGCCAGUCAUCGUGACGUUAAAUGGGUUUACCGUUAGUCUCGGACCUCUUCGUGACGGUCAGGGUUUGACGUCUCGCGGGACGCGAAACAUUUUCUCAACAGUUCGUC
ensembl:lncRNA